CAUUCUUCAUCUCAGCCGCUUGUCAUUACACUCAGUUGGGGACUUUCAAAAUCCUUUUAGGUACUCCGAGGUAUCUAGUAAAUUGUGCUUAAACAUAGUAUUUGUGUGCUGAAGAAUCAGACUUUUCAGCACUUACUCCCUUGCAGAAACAUCAAUCAGAACAAACAUGCACGUGGGAAAAUACUCUCAGAACAGCCGAGGGAGCCCAGAGAGAAGGACGCCGGCGGGGAGGACCUGAGGGUAGGUUGCCCAGCCAGCCUUCCCCGGGCUCAGUCCCAGCACGCAGCGGACAGAGGGCCAUCACCUGGCGAAGGGGAGAGGUAACGUUUAUGGAACAGAGUCAUCAUGGAACCCCCACCCACCGCCUUUGGGUCUGCUUAACCCUCCCUGUUACUUACGCUGCCCGGAGCAUCUGUUUCUUUCCUUCUGGACAUAAAGUUCAUCAUAAUAUGAGAAAAACAUGGCAUGGUGGCUUCAGCCGUGUCCAGUGCGCCCGUCGGCACUGCACAGGGAGUGGAAGAGGCAGAGGCACCGAGGGAAACUUCCAGUACCGCGGGGUUAGCACGUGAAGCUUGCACCAGUGGAGUUCAGGCCGAAGUACGGGGCAGACAGCGGAAAGGUAUCCACCGCGAAUGGAAGGAGUGCAGAGAGAA